GCGUCCAUGAUGUAGUGGUAGCCUGCCACCUUGCCAUGGUGGAAGUGCGGGUUCAAUUCCCGCUGGACGCU
rnacentral:tRNA from 1 species